CUCUAGGAUGUGUUCAUUACAUGGGCUGUGUAUAUUUUUAUUCAAUACCCUGAACUAGCAGUGUGAACAUAAUAGAG
rnacentral:pre_miRNA from 1 species